CACGACCCAAGUCAACCAAGUCAAAAGAGAGUGGAGUCUCCCCAUGGUUAGGGUUUGACCUGUAACCAAAGCACAACCCAAAGGUUUAAACUUCAGAGAUGUUGAAAGUAAUCCCACAUUCAUUAUUUUCAACACAUCUCGUGGCUUUUAAGCCCCAAAGUUUUGUGGGGCUAGAGGUGUUAAAAUAACCAGUUUAAAGGGACUAAUCUGGUGUACUUACAUUGAAAUAUUUAGCAUCAUGGGGCCUUUGGCUUUACUGUCUCAGGAUAAUGAAGAUAUAUCUCAUACAUUUUGAACAGCAGUAUAAUUACUUCCAUCAACACCAGUCAGCGUUUGGGUGAGAGGGCUUUAAAACAGUGCAGCAGAGGAGAAGAAAAGCUAAAUGCUGUUCUGCUAAAUCAGGCACACACCGAGGAAAACAAGAAUGCAGACCAAGAGGUGAUGAACUUCCAAGGUGUUCCAAAGGGUGGUCUAGGAACCUCCUCAGUACUGAUACAGGAUGAGGUGGACUCAGCCUGUUUUAGACGCCUGUAUUAAGGCUGCUCUGAAACCAGAGCGGGUAACAAAAUGAAGAGUGAGGUGUAUUUUGAUAGAACUAUCAGCCAAGAAGUCUGUCUUCUCUCCCAACAUCACCACUCCAGCCCUUUGUGGUGGUUGCUCUUGAGAGCAGAUUUUGGAUGCAUGAAGUGCUGAUGAUCUUGGCCCUUCCCUCUCCAUCUCUUCUCCAUAAGUGGAUCUCCCAGAAGCUGGAAGAAGAACUGAUGAACAAGAAAGAUCUGAUUCGCUCACUGUGGCUCUGUGACUACAUCCUGUCCUCCACUGCCUUGUUCUGCAAAGCAAAGGACAUACCUAAAGAAACGCAUGUGCCUCAUGCUCAUCAAGCCACAUGGGAAAAGAAGACUGGAGGAGCUGCAGUCAUCAUUGCCCUGUGGGGUUGCUGAAGCUGCAUCACUGAAAGAAGAAAGACACAGAAGAAGUCGGGAGUGAAAGAGAAGCAGGAGGAUGAAGAAGGUGCUGACUCAGAGGGAGCCCCACAGGUCCUUGGAGUGGGUCUGGAUCUACCUGGUCCUUGACUGCAGAGUUGAGCCUGAAGGCAAGUCAGCUGCUGGAGGAUGCUGAGAAGUGCCUCGGAGACCCCCGAAGUGAGACCACAGGGGAGAGAGGAAGAAGACUGAAGUAGAGGAUAUGGAGGCAUGCCCACUGUACAUGAUCCUGGAUGGAAGCCUGACUUACCAUCAUUCCAUGUUGGCAUUGGUUUCAUUGUAUUUUCAAUAUAUAACAAAGAGUUCUCUCAAAACCCUCGUGAGUUGGUGACCUUGCAUUAGAUCUCCAAGAAGUUGCUUGUUCCUUGAUACCUA